rnacentral:rRNA from 1 species
GGGCAAUAACCAUGGCAGUCGAACGAACUUAACUCAUUCUUUUAGAUUGAGAGCGGUUAGUGGCGGACUGGUGAGUAACGCGUAAGGAACCUGCCUUUUAGAGGGGAAUAACAAUGAGAAAUCAUUGCUAAUACCGCAUAUGCCAUAAUUAUCACAUGAUAAUAGUGGGAAAGGAGCAAUUCGCUAAAAGAUGGCCUUGCGUCUGAUUAGAUAGUUGGUAAGGUAACGGCUUACCAAGUCGACGAUCAGUAGCCGGACUGAGAGGUUGAACGGCCACAUUGGGACUGAGAUACGGCCCAGACUCCUACGGGAGGCAGCAGUCGGGAAUAUUGCGCAAUGGAGGAAACUCUGACGCAGUGACGCCGCGUAUAGGAAGAAGGUUUUCGGAUUGUAAACUAUUGUCGUUAGGGAAGAGAAAGGACAGUACCUAAGGAGGAAGCUCCGGCUAACUACGUGCCAGCAGCCGCGGUAAUACGUAGGGAGCGAGCGUUAUCCGGAAUUAUUGGGUGUAAAGGGUGCGUAGACGGGAAAGCAAGUUAGUUGUGAAAUCCCUCGGCUUAACUGAGGAACUGCAACUAAAACUACUUUUCUUGAGUGCAGGAGAGGUAAGUGGAAUUCCUAGUGUAGCGGUGAAAUGCGUAGAUAUUAGGAGGAACACCAGUGGCGAAGGCGACUUACUGGACUGCAACUGACGUUGAGGCACGAAAGUGUGGGGAGCAAACAGGAUUAGAUACCCUGGUAGUCCACACC